rnacentral:rRNA from 1 species
CCUACGGGCGGCUGCAGUGGGGAAUAUUGGACAAUGGGCGAAAGCCUGAUCCAGCCAUGCCGCGUGUGUGAAGAAGGCCUUCGGGUUGUAAAGCACUUUCAGUGGGGAAGAAAGCCUUGGGGCUAAUACCCUCGAGGAAGGACAUCACCCACAGAAGAAGCACCGGCUAACUCCGUGCCAGCAGCCGCAGUAAUACGGAGGGUGCGAGCGUUAAUCGGAAUUACUGGGCGUAAAGCGCGCGUAGGCGGUCUGAUAAGCCGGUUGUGAAAGCCCCGGGCUCAACCUGGGAACGGCAUCCGGAACUGUCAGGCUAGAGUGCAGGAGAGGAAGGUAGAAUUCCCGGUGUAGCGGUGAAAUGCGUAGAGAUCGGGAGGAAUACCAGUGGCGAAGGCGGCCUUCUGGACUGACACUGACGCUGAGGUGCGAAAGCGUGGGUAGCAAACAGGAUUAGAUACCCCAGUAGUC